rnacentral:rRNA from 1 species
CGGUGCGCCUUAUGCAUGCAAGUCGAGCGAAGCUUUUUAGUAGUUUACUACUAGAAAUGACUGAGCGGCGAACGGGUGAGUAACGCGUGAGCAAUCUACCUUAGUUACUGGGAUAGCCCGAGGAAACUCGGAUUAAUACCAGAUAUUCUUAUUUUUUCACAUGAAGUUUUAAGGAAAGGUCAGCCGAACUAAGAUGAGCUCGCGUUCUAUCAGCUAGUUGGUGGGGUAAAAGCCUACCAAGGCUACGACGGAUAGCUGGUCUGAGAGGACGAUCAGCCACACUGGGACUGAGACACGGCCCAGACUCCUACGGGAGGCUGCAGCAGGGAAUAUUGUGCAAUGAGCGAAAGCUUGACACAGCGACACCGCGUGUGGGAUGACGGUUCUAGGAUUGUAAACCACUUUCAGGAGGGAAGAAAAUGACGGUACCUCCACAAGAAGACCCGGCCAACUAUGUGCCAGCAGCCGCGGUAAUACAUAGGGGUCAAGCGUUGUCCGGAUUUAUUGGGCGUAAAGAGCUCGUAGGCGGUUCAACAAGUCGGUCGUAAAAGUUUAGGGCUCAACCCUAAAAUGUCGAUCGAUACUGUUGUGACUAGGAUACGGUAGAGGUGAAUGGAAUUCCGAGUGUAGCGGUGAAAUGCGUAGAUAUUCGGAGGAACACCAAUUGCGAAGGCAGUUCACUGGACCGUGAUCGACGCUGAGGAGCGAAAGCUAGGGGAGCAAACAGGAUUAGAUACCCUGGUAGUCCUAGCUGUAAACGAUGGAUACUAGAUGUAGGAACUGGAUUGACGGUUUCUGUAUCGUAGCUAACGCGUUAA